rnacentral:lncRNA from 1 species
UUGGAGCCCUAAUGCUGACUAAAGGAAAAGUUUAGUUUAGGGUUGAAGCCCUAAUGCUGACUAACUGGGGAAGAGUUCAGUUUAGGGUUGGAGCCCUAAUGCUGACUAAAGGGAAAAGUUCAGUUUAGGGUUGGAGCCCUAAUGCUGACUAAAUGGAAAAAGUUCAGUUUAGGGUUGGAGCCCUAAUGCUGACUAACUGGGAAGAGUUCAGGUUAGGGUCUGAGCCCUAAUGCUGGCGGAAAUGAAAGAGUUCAGUUCAGGGUUGGAGCCCUAAUGCUGACUAAACGGAAAAGUUCAGUUUAGGGUUGGAGCCCUAAUGCUGACUAAUUGGGGAAAGUUCAAUUUAGGGUUGGAGCACUAAUGCUGACUAAAGGGAAAAAGUUCAGUUUAGGGUUGGAGCCCUAAUGCUGACUAACUGGGGAAAAGUUCAGUUUAGGGUUGGAGCCCUAAUGCUGACUAAAGGGAAAAAGUUCAGUUUAGGGUUGGAGCCCUAAUGCUGACUAACUAGGGAAAAGUUCAGUUUAGGGUUUGAGCCCUAAUGCUGACUAACAGACAAGGCUCAGUUCAGGGUUGGAUCCCUAAUGCUGGCUAAAAAUGGAAAAAGUUCAGUUUAGUGUUGGAUCCCUAAUGCUGACUAAAGGGAAAAGUUCAGUUUAGGGUUGGAGCCCUAAUGCUGACUAACUGGGGAAGA